UAUAAUUGUGGUGCAUUUUUUUGUUUUUUGUUUUUGGUGGCCAUGGAAGUUCCUUCAAGUUCUUAUAAUGUUCAAACCAUUGCUUCUAUCUUAUAUUUUCAGGAUCUCAGCAGCUCAACUUUGUUCUGAAUGAUGCAACGAGAAACAAGGAAGAUAGCUAACCAGAGCUUUGAAUUUUAGGAGGGAGCUUAGAAGAGUUAUUGAACCACUAAAACAACUACUCAUUUUUGUCGUCUCUAAUUGGACCUCAAAGUCCAAAGAAAAUUGAAAGUUGAAUCAUCAGAUGGGCUCCACUUUGGCAAAAUAACAUCAAAAGAAGAAAAAAUUUGGUGGAAUUGAGAAUCAAACUGGGAAGUGAUUGGAUUAUUAUUAUUAUUGUAGCUUUGAUGAGUAGUAGUACCAGCUGAUUCCUCUCCACCAGUAGUUUCAAAAGGACUGCUCCAAGAAGAAGAUGAAUUAAUGUUGGUAAAAUUUGGUUGAUGAUCAUCUGAACAACAAGCUGAAUCCCUAAUAAACAUCUGACUUUUCAGCUUCUCCAAAGUUCUUGCUCUUGCUCUUUCUCUUGCCUUUUCUCUCAAUUCUUUGGCCAUGGUUUUUCUAAUUGGCAGUUGUUUGGCUCUCAUAAUCUUCUUCUUCUUGAUCUUCUUCUUACUAAUUUUGAUAUUAUUAUCUUUGGUAUUCAAAUUUUGAUCACCAAUAAUUACUCCAACUUCAUUAUCAAGCUCUGAAGAAUUGGAAUAAUUAGAAGAAGAAUUACUGAUCGUGAAACAAUUAUGGUUUUUUUUCUCUGUAGCAAGUUUCAAAAUUUCAGGCUUGGCUUGAAUCAACAACCAUUCAACUGUUUUGCUACCUUUAUCAACACCCAACAUGUCUUGUAAUCCAAAGAAUUGCUUAGCCACCGGUAAAGAAAGCCUCAUUCUUCUAUCUCUUACCCCUUUUGCUGUUGUGAUUUUGCUAUGUCUAUCUUUUUUUGACAAUCUUUUUCUUUGUGGGACUUUCUUCAUCAUCUUCUUCAUCUUUUGAUCUGAAUUCAUCACCACCAUGCUCAUGUUGUCAAUAGGAGGGCUAUUACAAGUGGAAAUAAUAGGAGGAGGAUUAUUAUUAUAAUUUUGAGAAGAAUUAGAGGGAGAAUUAGUAGUGAAAUUGAGAUCACGAUCAUCAUCAACUUCAAAAGGAGAAGGAAAGGGGAAGAAAGAGAUGGGAAGAUGGAAUGAAUGGUCAAGAUCAUGAGACAAAUUACCAAAUGGGUCAUGGACAUUUUUGGUAUUACCACUACUAUUUGUGGAGAAGAACAUGUUCCUUUUUUUUUUUUUUUUGGGAGAAAAAUUGUGGACAAAAAGACCUAGAUUUGAUGAUGGAAAUGGCUUGAAUUUGAUGACAAGUGCAAAACUUUGAAGAUGAAUAAAAGAAAUCUUCACAUCC